rnacentral:rRNA from 1 species
CCUACGGGUGGCAGCAGUGAGGAAUAUUGGUCAAUGGGCGAGAGCCUGAACCAGCCAAGUCGCGUGAGGGAGUACUGCCCUAUGGGUUGUAAACCUCUUUUGUCGGGGAGCAAAAGCCGGACGUGUCCGGCUGUGAGAGUACCCGAAGAAAAAGCAUCGGCUAACUCCGGGCCAGCAGCCGCGGUAAUAAGGAGGAUGCGCGGGUUAUCCGGAUUUAUUGGGUUUAAAGGGUGCGCAGGCGGAUUUUUAAGUUCGCGGUAAAAUCGGGGGGCUCAACCCCAUCCAGCCGUUGAAACUGGGGAUCUAGAGUGUGCGAGAGGUAGGCGGAAUGCGUGGUGUAGCGGUGAAAUGCAUAGAUAUCACGCAGAACCCCGAUUGCGAAGGCAGCAUACCGGUGCACAACUGACGCUCAGGCACGAAAGCGUGGGUAUCGAACAGGAUUAGAUACCCUUGUAGUC